CCUCCUUAUACGAUUUAGAACUUAUUUGUUCGUAGUGUCCACACAGAUGAUUGUUAGUUAGUUUUACCCUUUGGGUUAACUAAUUAAUAUGCUCUUUAAAAAUUUGGAAAAGCUGAUAAUAAAAUUCGUAUGAAUAACAUUGUUAUUUGUACAGAGUUUUCAAAAGUAAAAAAGAAUGAUAGCAGUAUCAUUCAGUGCCAAUUUAAUCCUCGGAUUAAUUGGUAUCUACUUUAGUAUUCAAUAUUAACUUCUGGCGAAGUUAAACUGUCACGAAACAAAGACCCGUUUGGGUUGUAUGGUUAAGUGACUAAGCGUACACGGUGGAUGCCUUGGCAGUUGGAGGCGAUGAAGGACGUAUUAACCUUGCCGAUAAGCCUAAUCAAACCUAGUAAAAAGCCACUUUGAAAACUACGGAUUUUCCCGAAAUGGGGGAAAACCCAAAGGGGGCGAAAUCCUUGCAAAAAUUAUCCCUUCCANAACCUGGGCCGGCCCGGCUCCAAAACCAAUUGCCAUUA
rnacentral:misc_RNA from 1 species